rnacentral:rRNA from 1 species
GUGGGGAAUUUUGGACAAUGGGCGCAAGCCUGAUCCAGCCAUGCCGCGUGAGUGAAGAAGGCCUUCGGGUUGUAAAGCUCUUUCGGCGGGGAAGAAAUGGCAACGGCUAAUAUCUGUUGUUGAUGACGGUACCCGCAUAAGAAGCACCGGCUAACUACGUGCCAGCAGCCGCGGUAAUACGUAGGGUGCGAGCGUUAAUCGGAAUUACUGGGCGUAAAGCGUGCGCAGGCGGUUGUGUAAGUCAGAUGUGAAAUCCCCGGGCUCAACCUGGGAACUGCAUUUGAGACUGCACGGCUAGAGUGUGACAGAGGGGGGUAGAAUUCCACGUGUAGCAGUGAAAUGCGUAGAGAUGUGGAGGAAUACCGAUGGCGAAGGCAGCCCCCUGGGUUACUACUGACGCUCAUGCACGAAAGCGUGGGGAGCAAACAGGAUUAGAAACCCCGGUAGUCC